GUCCGCUUAGAUCAGUCGUAGAUCGUUAGUUUCCGGCUUACUCAGGGUUAUCCCUGAUAUCGCUAGCUAAAGGUCGAGGGUUCAAUCCCCCCAGUGGAUA